UACGUAGGGUGCGAGCGUUAAUCGGAAUUACUGGGCGUAAAGCGUGCUCAGGCGGUUUUGUAAGCCAGAUUUGAAAUCCCCGGGCUUAACCUGGGAAUGGCAUUUGGGACUGCAAGGCUUGAGUGCGGCAGAGGAGACUGGAAUUCCUGGUGUAGCAGUGAAAUGCGUAGAUAUCAGGAGGAAUACCGAUGGCGAAGGCAGGUCUCUGGGCUGACACUGACGCUCAUGCACGAAAGCGUGGGGAGCAAACAGG
rnacentral:rRNA from 1 species